UACGUAGGGUGCAAGCGUUGUCCGGAAUUAUUGGGCGUAAAGAGCUCGUAGGCGGUUUGUUGCGUCGGCUGUGAAAACCCGUGGCUCAACCAUGCGGUCUGCAGUCGAUACGGGCAGGCUAGAAUUCGGUAGGGGAGACUGGAAUUCCUGGUGUAGCGGUGAAAUGCGCAGAUAUCAGGAGGAACACCGGUGGCGAAGGCGGCCUGCUGGGCAGUAGCUGACGCUGAGGCGCGACAGCGUGGGGAGCAAACAGG
rnacentral:rRNA from 1 species